CGGGACACGUGGUAUCCUGUCUGAAUAUGGGGGGACCAUCCUCCAAGGCUAAAUACUCCUGACUGACCGAUAGUGAACCAGUACCGUGAGGGAAAGGCGAAAAGAACCCCGGCGAGGGGAGUGAAAAAGAACCUGAAACCGUGUACGUACAAGCAGUGGGAGCACAGAGCAAUCUGUGUGACUGCGUACCUUUUGUAUAAUGGGUCAGCGACUUAUAUUCUGUAGCAAGGUUAACCGAAUAGGGGAGCCGAAGGGAAACCGAGUCUUAACUGGGCGUUAAGUUGCAGGGUAUAGACCCGAAACCCGGUGAUCUAGCCAUGGGCAGGUUGAAGGUUGGGUAACACUAACUGGAGGACCGAACCGACUAAUGUUGAAAAAUUAGCGGAUGACUUGUGGCUGGGGGUGAAAGGCCAAUCAAACCGGGAGAUAGCUGGUUCUCCCCGAAAGCUAUUUAGGUAGCGCCUCGUGAAUUCAUCUCCGGGGGUAGAGCACUGUUUCGGCAAGGGGGUCAUCCCGACUUACCAACCCGAUGCAAACUGCGAAUACCGGAGAAUGUUAUCACGGGAGACACACGGCGGGUGCUAACGUCCGUCGUGAAGAGGGAAACAACCCAGACCGCCAGCUAAGGUCCCAAAGUCAUGGUUAAGUGGGAAACGAUGUGGGAAGGCCCAGACAGCCAGGAUGUUGGCUUAGAAGCAGCCAUCAUUUAAAGAAAGCGUAAUAGCUCACUGGUCGAGUCGGCCUGCGCGGAAGAUGUAACGGGGCUAAACCAUGCACCGAAGCUGCGGCAGCGACGCUGAUGCGUUGUUGGGUAGGGGAGCGUUCUGUAAGCCUGUGAAGGUGUGCUGUGAGGCAUGCUGGAGGUAUCAGAAGUGCGAAUGCUGACAUAAGUAACGAUAAAGCGGGUGAAAAGCCCGCUCGCCGGAAGACCAAGGGUUCCUGUCCAACGUUAAUCGGGGCAGGGUGAGUCGACCCCUAAGGCGAGGCCGAAAGGCGUAGUCGAUGGGAAACAGGUUAAUAUUCCUGUACUUGGUGUUACUGCGAAGGGGGGACGGAGAAGGCUAUGUUGGCCGGGCGACGGUUGUCCCGGUUUAAGCGUGUAGGCUGGUUUUCCAGGCAAAUCCGGAAAAUCAAGGCUGAGGCGUGAUGACGAGGCACUACGGUGCUGAAGCAACAAAUGCCCUGCUUCCAGGAAAAGCCUCUAAGCAUCAGGUAACAUCAAAUCGUACCCCAAACCGACACAGGUGGUCAGGUAGAGAAUACCAAGGCGCUUGAGAGAACUCGGGUGAAGGAACUAGGCAAAAUGGUGCCGUAACUUCGGGAGAAGG
rnacentral:rRNA from 1 species